rnacentral:ncRNA from 1 species
UCUUAUAAAGAGCGGCGGAGGGAAGUGCCCUAUGAAGCCCGGCAACCAUCACGAAUGUGAAAAGGUGCCAAGUCACACAAAGUAUACACUUUGAAAGAUGAGA